GGGGAUGUAGCAAAAAUGGUAGAGUGCUCGCUUUGCAUGCGAGAGGCACGGGGUUCGAUCCUUCGCAUCUCCA
rfam:Ipomoea nil DNA, scaffold: scaffold0317, cultivar: Tokyo-kokei standard.